rnacentral:misc_RNA from 1 species
GCCAUUCCAUAUUCCGUUGCACCAAGCAAAAGCUCAGGAGCUCUAUACCAUAGAGUUACAACACGACUUGUUAAUGGCUGUGUUUGGUUGGGCUCAAAGGUUGUAGCCAAGCCAAAGUCUCCAAUCUUUAGAACACCAUUAUCAUCAAUGAGAAGGUUUGAACCCUUAAUGUCUCGAUGAAGUACACCUCGGCUAUGACAGUGUUCAAGUCCACGAAGCAAUUGUUGCAUAUAACAUUUAAUCUGUGCUUCAGUAAACUUAACACGAGGUGCUGCUGCAAGUCCAGCAAGAUCGUGUUCCAUGUAUUCAAAUACAAGAUAUAAACUACAAGACAUCCGGG